UACGGAGGGUGCGAGCGUUGUCCGGAAUCACUGGGCGUAAAGGGCGCGUAGGCGGCGCGGGAAGUCAUCGGUGAAAGUUCAGGGCUCAACUCUGAAUCGGCCGGUGAUACUCUCGUGCUCGAGCACUGUAGAGGCAGGUGGAAUUCCGGGUGUAGCGGUGGAAUGCGUAGAGAUCCGGAAGAACACCGGUGGCGAAGGCGGCCUGCUGGGCAUAGCUGACACUGAUGCGCG
rnacentral:rRNA from 1 species